GUGGAGAACUUGAGGUUGGGGCCCUCCACGAUGUGCUCCACAGGGCGGGCCUCCGGUAGCAGCUGCACUAGAUGCACUUGGCCUUGUCGAUGUCAUAGCGGGUGGUCCUGCAGGUGACGUGGGUCUCGCUGGUGAUGGCCUCGUAGGGGCAGAGCGCCAGGCAGAGCUGGCCCACGGUGCAGCGCUCCUCUCCUCUCCCCAUGGAUGGAUGCAUGGCGGCGCAGUGCAUGCUCCCCGUGGAAGCACGGACCCAGCGGGCCUUUCUCAGAUUGUGUUUGCCUAUUAAUAAUACUCUUGAGAGUUCCUAAGAGCAGCAGCUGGGGCCACGGGGACUGUGAAGAAAACCAAAACCACAAUCUCAGAACCUCUCCUAUUGCAUAAUCAAGAUGUGAAUCACUGUAACUGCUGAGACGCUGACCCCUGCAAAGAAAACCUUCUAACCAAUCUGUGUAGCAACCAAAGAGACCCCAAGUUAUAGCUGUUAUUCCAGAAAUUACUGUAUUUAAGCCAGGAACUCAGAGUUUUAUCUACACGGAAUGUUAUUGUUGAUCAUUUGACCUCACUGUUGAGACAGAGUGAGUUGAUGUUCCUUGCCAAAUAGCUGAGGAAGACAAAGUCUAUGCCUUCACAGCAUUGUUUAAAAAAAAAAAAUUUCUACAGAAAAUCUUCAGUCACUUCCCCACUCAAUAAAAAUUUAGAAUUAAAGCAAAAGUGUAUCAGUCAGGAUUCUUAGUUGCAAACAUCAGAAACUAGCUCCAACAGAUUUAAACAGAAAAAUAAUUUAUCAGAAGAACUGUGGAAAUGACCCUGACGUCUGUUUAAAUAAAAUGGAUAAAUUGUGAUAUACAAUGAAAUAUACAACAAUGAAAAAAGAACAAACCGUCAAUAUGCACAACAGUAUGAAUGUAGCAUAUAGAAAUAAUAUUGAGUUAAGAAGCCAAACAGUAUAUAUUUCCAUUUACAUUAAGUUCAGAAACAGGCAAAACAAAUCCAUGGUGUUAGCAUCAGUGUAGUGGUUAAUCUGCGGUGGAAGAAGGGCUAACAGGAGCCAUGAGGAGGGAUUCGGGGUGCUGGUUAGACAGGUAUGCUCAGUUUGGAAAAUUCAUUGAGCCAUGCACACUUGAUACAUAUUCUUUUCUCUAUGUAUGUCUUCGUGAAAGUCACACAGAAAGAAAUCAACAGACGGGCUAUUAGUAGGUCAAAAUAUCACCAGUAAGUGCUGGAGACACAGGUUUGGGACUGUAAGUCCAAGCAUGCCUUCCAAAUCUGGCACAAAACUUGAAUGAGUACAUCUUGCUGCGGCCACUGAGCAGCAGAUGAUGUCCUUUGCUUUGCAGACCCUGCGCCUGGGACAUACAUGUACCCCUAUCUGACAUUUGGUUAUAUGUGCAUUUGUUUAUUUCCUGUCUCCUCAACUAGAAUGUGAGCUCACUGCUGGCACAAAAUAGGUACUCAGAAAACAUUUAUUGAAUGAAUCUAACUGCCUUGUUCAUAACUGAGCAGGGUUCCCCAUCUCAUGGACGC
rnacentral:lncRNA from 1 species